UACAAAUAUUUUACCUACCACGAAACUGAACCCGCCACCCCACACCCAUUAUGACGCAAUGGUUUUGUCCACACCUGCAUUGGUUUGAUUAGAGUCAGGACAUCGUUAACGCCACUGAUUUCCAGCCCUAAGCUUUGUCCAGUCAGUUAGCUUUAUAAAAACGGACAACGUUAGGAAGACAGAAAGAAAAAGUUCAGGAGAAACAACAAAAUACACACCUGUCAGAGGAAAGGCCAAGUGAUCGAGGAUCACGGUCAAACACGGCCUGCAGAAGCAACCACAGGCUGAAGCACCUGCACCUGGCCCCGCCCACCAUCCAAUGGUGUUCCUGAAGACAACAGACCAGUGUGUUGCAGCAAGAAAAAACAAAAGUCAGGACUCAAAUACGAGAGAUGGCACCUCAGUCACCUGCCAAACAGAUACAAGCUGACCCUCAGGAGCAAGUCAGAAAUCACAGCCUUACAGCCAGCACCCCCACAAAAGUGAAAAUGAAUGCACUCACCACCUGUGGUGGGAGCAGAACAAGAGAGUGGGAAAGGACGUGGGAGAGGAAGAAAGAGAGCAGGGAAGGAAAAGACAUGGCAACUGUUCAGGGCGAGAUCAGCAUGGAAUUUAGGAAGACACCCAACAUGAUUUCACAAAGGCAGACACACCAAG